rnacentral:rRNA from 1 species
UUAAUGAAUAAGCUCCGGCUAACUACGUGCCAGCAGCCGCGGUAAUACGUAGGGAGCAAGCGUUGUCCGGAUUUACUGGGUGUAAAGGGUGCGUAGGCGGCUUUGCAAGUCAGAUGUGAAAUCUAUGGGCUCAACCCAUAGCCUGCAUUUGAAACUGCAGAGCUUGAGUGAAGUAGAGGCAGGCGGAAUUCCCCGUGUAGCGGUGAAAUGCGUAGAGAUGGGGAGGAACACCAGUGGCGAAGGCGGCCUGCUGGGCUUUAACUGACGCUGAGGCACGAAAGCGUGGGUAGCAAACAGGAUUAGAUACCCUGGUAGUCCACGCUGUAAACGAUGAUUACUAGGUGUGGGGGGUCUGACCCCUUCCGUGCCGGAGUUAACACAAUAAGUAAUCCACCUGGGGAGUACGGCCGCAAGGUUGCAACUCAA